GGAUAAACGGCUGGCGGCGUGCCUAAUACCGAUGCAAGUCGAACGAGGAGUCUUUGUAGCGAAUACGGAGACUUCCUAGUGGCGGAAUGGGUGAGUAACGCGUUGAUGACCUGCCCCAAAGAGAGGAACAACUCCGGGAAACUGGAGCUAAUACCUCAUGUGGUUACCAGGGUUAGAGGCCUGGUAACUGAAGGAGUAAUCCGCUUUGGGAGGGACCUGCGUCCCAUCAGCUUGUUGGCAGGGUAACGGCCUACCAAGGCUACGACGGGUAGGGGGCCUGAGAGGGUGGCCCCCCACACUGGAACUGAAACACGGUCCAGACACCUACGGGUGGCAGCAGUAGGGAAUAUUGCACAAUGGGCGAAAGCCUGAAUGCAGCAACGCCGCGUGAACGAUGAAGACCUUCGGGUUGUAAAGUUCUUUUCUGAAGGACGAGGAAGGACGGUAUUUCAGGAAUAAGGAUCGGCUAACUACGUGCCAGCAGCGGC
rnacentral:rRNA from 1 species